AGUCGAACGGCAGCACGGGUGCUUGCACCUGGUGGCGAGUGGCGAACGGGUGAGUAAUACAUCGGAACAUGUCCUGUAGUGGGGGAUAGCCCGGCGAAAGCCGGAUUAAUACCGCAUACGAUCCACGGAUGAAAGCGGGGGACCUUCGGGCCUCGCGCUAUAGGGUUGGCCGAUGGCUGAUUAGCUAGUUGGUGGGGUAAAGGCCUACCAAGGCGACGAUCAGUAGCUGGUCUGAGAGGACGACCAGCCACACUGGGACUGAGACACGGCCCAGACUCCUACGGGAGGCAGCAGUGGGGAAUUUUGGACAAUGGGCGAAAGCCUGAUCCAGCAAUGCCGCGUGUGUGAAGAAGGCCUUCGGGUUGUAAAGCACUUUUGUCCGGAAAGAAAUCCCUGGCUCUAAUACAGCCGGGGGAUGACGGUACCGGAAGAAUAAGCACCGGCUAACUACGUGCCAGCAGCCGCGGUAAUACGUAGGGUGCAAGCGUUAAUCGGAAUUACUGGGCGUAAAGCGUGCGCAGGCGGUUUGCUAAGACCGAUGUGAAAUCCCCGGGCUCAACCUGGGAACUGCAUUGGUGACUGGCAGGCUAGAGUAUGGCAGAGGGGGGUAGAAUUCCACGUGUAGCAGUGAAAUGCGUAGAGAUGUGGAGGAAUACCGAUGGCGAA
rnacentral:rRNA from 1 species